rnacentral:tRNA from 1 species
GGGCUGUUAGCUCAAUGGUAGAGCAGCGGACUUUUAAUCCGUUGGUUCUGGGUUCGAGUCCCAGACGGCCCACCC